CAAGUCGAGUGGGUUUAGACCCACGGCGAACGGGUGAGUAAUACCUAGGAAUGUCCUUUAAGUUGAGCAUAACCCACCGAAAGGUGGAAUAAUACUCGAUGUGGUCGUAAGACUAAAGUCGCAAGACGCUUAAAGCGCAGCCUGGGCACCAUCAGCUAGUUGGUAAGGUAAUGGCUUACCAAGGCUAUGACGGUUAGGGGCCCCGAGAGGGGAGACCCCCACACUGGAACUGCGACACGGUCCAG
rnacentral:rRNA from 1 species